rnacentral:rRNA from 1 species
GACGAACGCUGGCGGCGUGGAUUAGGCAUGCAAGUCGAACGGUAUCAUCCUUUCGGGGGUGAGAGAGUGGCGAACUGGUGAGUAACACGUAGGUUAUCUACCCUCAAGACGGGGCAACCCAGGGAAACUUGGGCUAAUACCGGAUGUGAGCAACUUUUAGUUGUUUGAAAGGUGGCGUAAGCUGUCGCUUGGGGAUGAGCCUGCGUCCUAUUAGUUAGUUGGUGAGGUAACGGCUCACCUAGGCAAUGAUAGGUAGGCGGCCUUAACGGGUGGUCGCCCACACUGGGAUUGAGAUACGGCCCAGACUCCUACGGGAGGCAGCAGUCGAGAAUAGUCUACAAUGGUCGGAAGACUGAUAGUGCGACGCCGCGUGAACGAUGAAUCCCUUCGGGGUGUAAAGUUCUUUUAUAUGUGAGCAGUGCUUCUUAUAUUAACAGUAUGGGGGAGAGAGAUAUUAGCAUAUGAAUAAGCAACGGCUAACUCCGUGCCAGCAGCCGACGGU